UGAAUUGAGUCAGUGGAUGCGAGACGAUGGUGAGAGUCUGUGUGUGUGUCUUUGGAGUGUGUCAGUGAACAGUUAAACAGAGGGAGCGAUAUUCGCGCUCUCUCCAUCCUCGGGUGACAAGCUGUUUCCAAACAUUUUACGCGCAGCUGCUGCUCCGACGCACGUUCAGAGAGCGUCCACCCUCCGGACAGAAAGUUGUACACAACAUGCUGCACUGAGUGGGACCUGUGAUAUGAAAAAUAUGCCUGACCAUUCAUAUGGUGCUGUGUUCCAGGGACCAAAGGCUGGGCGUCGCCAGGGGAACCUCAUCCUCUCCGAAGCUUCCAGGAAGCUGCGGAGCACGUAGCUCAGAAGUUGCUGCGCCUGACAGCGAGUCCUCGAACGAACCUCCUGGGACUUGGAGUUCUCGUUUAAUUAAGGGAGGAAAUUCUUUCUUAAAAUGCAAGAAAGUCGUGCAGUCACUACACACCAGAAGAUCUUUCAAAAAUUCGCUUUAUUUAUUAUAGGACUUUUUUCACUGCACGCUCAGUCACCAGUGUGCAAAUAGAACUGUGGAGCUGCAGCUGAGGACUGGAGCUCCUGUAAUAUUGUCUUUUUGUUUGAAGAUAGAAGAUUCCCUGCUGCGGCGGCUUCCUCUUGGAUUAUCAGGUCACUGGUGAAUGUCAGUGCUCCGUCACUUUCCCUCGCUUGGUCUUUGAUCCAGGGCCAUCUCCCUGCUGCUCCUAUAUCUUUCCCAUUUCAUCCGCAGCUGACGUUUAGGUUUAAGUGGUAUUAAGUAUUAACCUUCGGGAAAUCCUCUUUUUUUCCCACUGGAAUAUACUCAAGCCAAAACUUUAACCAGCCCUGUCGGCACGAUGUGGUGAGGAAGAAGAGAGAGAGAGGAACAGAGGGGAUUGAAGGGCAGAUGGCUUCACUGCUCCAAAACACCAACAGCUGUAUGAAUAAAACAUUUGAAUAGAGAGAGUCGUGACUUCUGGGUGAGGAGUGUUAGACACCCUCCUUAUACCCUCUCUCUUUCUUUUGCCCUAUUCUGUCCUCUCUCCUCACUAGCAUUCGUAUCCUCUUCAUCCCUACACACCUCCCCUGCUCCCUCUUGUCUCUUUUCCCCUGUGAAUUUAAGAGUUCAGGUGGUCACUCAAACAGACAGAAACAAGCUUGUGCCUCCACUUGUUUCAUCUUCUCUCGCCGAGUUUAGUUCCGCCUCUGUGUGUCCACUCUCUCACUCGACCCGUCCCUCCUGCGGCACCU